rnacentral:rRNA from 1 species
UACGUAGGGGGCAAGCGUUGUCCGGAUUUAUUGGGCGUAAAGAGCGUGUAGGCGGCCAUUCAGGUCAGCUGUGAAAACUCGAGGCUCAACCUCGAGACGUCGGUUGAAACCGUUUGGCUAGAGUCCGGAAGAGGAGAGUGGAAUUCCCGGUGUAGCGGUGAAAUGCGCAGAUAUCGGGAAGAACACCCGUGGCGAAGGCGGCUCUCUGGGACGGUACUGCACGCUGAGACGCGGAAAGCGUGGGAGCGAACGA